rnacentral:rRNA from 1 species
AGUGAACGCUGGCGGUAGGCCUAACACAUGCAAGUCGAACGGCAGCACAGUAAGAGCUUGCUCUUACGGGUGGCGAGUGGCGGACGGGUGAGGAAUACGUCGGAAGCUACUUUUUCGUGGGGGAUAACGUAGGGAAACUUACGCUAAUACCGCAUACGACCUACGGGUGAAAGCAUGGGAUCUUCGGACCUUGCGCGAUUGAAUGAGCCGAUGUCGGAUUAGCUAGUUGGCGGGGUAAAGGCCCACCAAGGCGACGAUCCGUAGCUGGUCUGAGAGGAUGAUCAGCCACACUGGAACUGAGACACGGUCCAGACUCCUACGGGAGGCAGCAGUGGGGAAUUUUGGACAAUGGGCGCAAGCCUGAUCCAGCCAUGCCGCGUGGGUGAAGAAGGCCUUCGGGUUGUAAAGCACUUUUGUUGGGAAAGAAAAGCAGCAGGUUAAUACCCCGCUGUGCUGACGGUACCCAAAGAAUAAGCACCGGCUAACUUCGUG